AUUGAACGCUGGCGGCAUGCCUUACACAUGCAAGUCGAACGGCAGCACGGGUGCUUGCACCUGGUGGCGAGUGGCGAACGGGUGAGUAAUACAUCGGAACAUGUCCUGUAGUGGGGGAUAGCCCGGCGAAAGCCGGAUUAAUACCGCAUACGAUCUACGGAUGAAAGCGGGGGACCUUCGGGCCUCGCGCUAUAGGGUUGGCCGAUGGCUGAUUAGCUAGUUGGUGGGGUAAAGGCCUACCAAGGCGACGAUCAGUAGCUGGUCUGAGAGGACGACCAGCUACACUGGGACUGAGACACGGCCCAGACUCCUACGGGAGGCAGCAGUGGGGAAUUUUGGACAAAGGGCGAAAGCCUGAUCCAGCAAUGCCGCGUGUGUGAAGAAGGCCUUCGGGUUGUAAAGCACUUUUGUCCGGAAAGAAAUCCUUGGCCCUAAUACGGUCGGGGGAUGACGGUACCGGAAGAAUAAGCACCGGCUAACUACGUG
rnacentral:rRNA from 1 species